GUUGUAUAGUCAAGUAAUUAAGUGCAUGUGGUGGAUGCCUUGGCAGUCAGAGGCGAUGAAAGACGUGAUAGCCUGCGAAAAGCUCCGGGAGGCGGCAAAUAUCCUUUGAUCCGGAGAUGUCUGAAUGGGGAACCCACCUACUUUAAGGUAGGUAUUGCAACAUGAAUACAUAGUGUUGCAAGGCGAACGAGGGAAGUGAAACAUCUCAGUACCCUUAGGAAAAGAAAUCAAUUGAGAUUCCCUCAGUAGCGGCGAGCGAACGGGGAUCAGCCCAUUAAAGUUAUGUGUGUUUUUUGGUGGAACGCUCUGGGAAGUGCGAACGUAGAGGGUGAUAUUCCCGUACACGAAAGGGCACACAUAAUGAUGACGAGUAGGGCGAGGGCACGUGAAACCUUGUCUGAAUAUGGGGGGACCAUCCUCCAAGGCUAAAUACUCCUGACUGACCGAUAGUGAACCAGUACCGUGAGGGAAAGGCGAAAAGAACCCCUGUGAGGGGAGUGAAAUAGAUCCUGAAACCGCAUGCAUACAAGCAGUGGGAGCACCUUCGUGGUGUGACUGCGUACCUUUUGUAUAAUGGGUCAGCGACUUAUAUUCAGUAGCGAGGUUAACCGUAUAGGGGAGCCGUAGAGAAAUCGAGUCUUAAUAGGGCGUUUAGUUGCUGGGUAUAGACCCGAAACCAGGCGAUCUAUCCAUGAGCAGGUUGAAGGUUGGGUAACACUAACUGGAGGACCGAACCCACUGUCGUUGAAAAGCCAGGGGAUGACUUGUGGAUAGGGGUGAAAGGCUAAUCAAGCCUGGUGAUAGCUGGUUCUCCCCGAAAGCUAUUUAGGUAGCGCCUCGGACGAAUACCAUAGGGGGUAGAGCACUGUUUCGGCUAGGGGGUCAUCCCGACUUACCAAACCGAUGCAAACUCCGAAUACCUAUGAGUACUAUCCGGGAGACAGACUGCGGGUGCUAACGUCCGUAGUCAAGAGGAAAACAAUCCAGACCGCCAGCUAAGGCCCCAAAAUCAUAGUUAAGUGGGAAACGAUGUGGGAAGGCAUAGACAGCUAGGAGGUUGGCUUAGAAGCAGCCACCCUUUAAAGAAAGCGUAAUAGCUCACUAGUCGAGUCGGCCUGCGCGGAAGAUGUAACGGGGCUAAAACUAUGUGCCGAAGCUGCGGAUGUAUACUUUGUAUACGUGGUAGGGGAGCGUUCUGUAAGCCGAUGAAGGUGUGUUGAGAAGCAUGCUGGAGGUAUCAGAAGUGCGAAUGCUGACGUGAGUAACGACAAAACGGGUGAAAAACCCGUUCGCCGAAAGACCAAGGGUUCCAGUCCAACGUUAAUCGGGGCUGGGUGAGUCGACCCCUAAGGCGAGGCCGAAAGGCGUAGUCGAUGGGAAAAUGGUUAAUAUUCCAUUACUUCUGUGUAAUGCGAUGAGAGGACGGAGAAGGCUAAAUCAGCCUGGCGUUGGUUGUCCAGGUGAAAGGAUGUAGGCAUGUAUCUUAGGCAAAUCCGGGGUACUCUAUGCUGAGAUCUGAUAGCAAGCUGUACUUGUACAGCGAAGUGGUUGAUGCCAUGCUUCCAGGAAAAGUCUCUAAGCUUCAGUUACACAGGAAUCGUACCCGAAACCGACACAGGUGGUCAGGUCGAGUAGACCAAGGCGCUUGAGAGAACUCUGCUGAAGGAACUAGGCAAAAUGGUACCGUAACUUCGGGAGAAGGUACGCUGUUGUUGGUGAUGGAACUCGCUUCCUGAGCUGACGACAGCCGCAGAAACCAGGCCGCUGCAACUGUUUAUUAAAAAACAUAGCACUCUGCAAACACGAAAGUGGACGUAUAGGGUGUGAUGCCUGCCCGGUGCUGGAAGGUUAAUUGAUGGGGUUAGCGUAAGCGAAGCUCUUGAUCGAAGCCCCAGUAAACGGCGGCCGUAACUAUAACGGUCCUAAGGUAGCGAAAUUCCUUGUCGGGUAAGUUCCGACCUGCACGAAUGGCAUAAUGAUGGCGGCGCUGUCUCCAGCAGAGGCUCAGUGAAAUCGAAAUCGCUGUGAAGAUGCAGUGUACCCGCGGCUAGACGGAAAGACCCCGUGAACCUUUACUGCAGCUUGACACUGAACUUUGACCUUACUUGUGUAGGAUAGGUGGGAGGCUUUGAAGCUGGAACGCUAGUUCCAGUGGAGCCGUCCUUGAAAUACCACCCUGGUAAUGUUGAGGUUUCUAACUCUGUCCCGUGAUCCGGGACGAGGACCGUGUCUGGUGGGUAGUUUGACUGGGGCGGUCUCCUCCUAAAGAGUAACGGAGGAGUUUACGAAGGUGCGCUCAGCGUGGUCGGAAAUCACGCGUAGAGUAUAAAGGCAAAAGCGCGCUUAACUGCGAGACCCACAAGUCGAGCAGGUACGAAAGUAGGUCUUAGUGAUCCGGUGGUUCUGUAUGGAAGGGCCAUCGCUCAACGGAUAAAAGGUACUCUGGGGAUAACAGGCUGAUACCGCCCAAGAGUUCAUAUCGACGGCGGUGUUUGGCACCUCGAUGUCGGCUCAUCUCAUCCUGGGGCUGAAGCAGGUCCCAAGGGGUAUGGCUGUUCGCCAUUUAAAGAGGUACGCGAGCUGGGUUUAGAACGUCGUGAGACAGUUCGGUCCCUAUCUACCGUGGGCGCUGGAAAUUUGAGAGGAUCUGCUCCUAGUACGAGAGGACCAGAGUGGACGAACCUCUGGUGUACCGGUUGUGACGCCAGUCGCAUCGCCGGGUAGCUAUGUUCGGAAGGGAUAACCGCUGAAAGCAUCUAAGCGGGAAGCCUACCUCAAGAUAAGAUUUCCCUAGGACUUUAUGUCCUCUAAAGAGCCGUUCGAGACUAGGACGUUGAUAGGUUGGAUGUGGAAGCAUAGUGAUAUGUGAAGCUGACCAAUACUAAUUGCUCGUGAGGCUUGACUAUACAACACCCAAGCAGUUG
rnacentral:rRNA from 1 species